rnacentral:rRNA from 1 species
AUUGAACGCUGGCGGCAGGCCUAACACAUGCAAGUCGAGCGGAUGAAGGGAGCUUGCUCCUGGAUUCAGCGGCGGACGGGUGAGUAAUGCCUAGGAAUCUGUCUGGUAGUGGGGGAUAACGUCCGGAAACGGGCGCUAAUACCGCAUACGUCCUGAGGGAGAAAGUGGGGGAUCUUCGGACCUCACGCUAUCAGAUGAGCCUAGGUCGGAUUAGCUAGUUGGUGGGGUAAAGGCCUACCAAGGCGACGAUCCGUAACUGGUCUGAGAGGAUGAUCAGUCACACGGAACCUGGAACACGUUCCAGCCUCUUCGGGGAGGCAGCGGUGGGGAAAUUUGAACAAGGGGCGAAGGCUUAUCCAGCCAUGCCGCGUGUGUGAAGAAGGUCUUCGGAUUGUAAAGCACUUUAAGUUGGGAGGAAGGGCAGUAAGUUAAUACCUUGCUGUUUUGACGUUACCAACAGAAUAAGCACCGGCUAACUUCGUG